UUUUUUUUUGAAUAUCUAGAAGUUUAGAUUCAAAAACCCUAUAUCUUUUAGAGGCGGGAUUUACACAAGGUUAAAUUCAUCUCUUUUGAACAAGAGAUUUCUCUCAACGUGCCUCGAACCCAACACCUCCACCUUUAAAAUUUACCACUGGGCCAACAGCACUUUGUUUCCAACCGCCAAUUUUACCACAAUCGCACGAGUAGAAUAGCAUAUGAAUGAUUGC
rnacentral:sRNA from 1 species